rnacentral:rRNA from 1 species
UACGUAGGUGACAAGCGUUGUCCGGAUUUACUGGGCGUAAAGAGCGCGCAGGCGGUCGAUCAAGUCGAGUGUGAAAGCCCCCGGCUCAACUGGGGAGGGUCAUUCGAUACUGAUCGACUCGAAGGCAGGAGAGGGUAGUGGAAUUCCUGGUGUAGCGGUGAAAUGCGCAGAUAUCAGGAAGAACACCCGUGGCGAAGGCGGCUCUCUGGGACGGUACUGACGCUGAGACGCGAAAGCGUGGGGAGCGAACAGG